GUUAACAAAUACCCUAAAAGGUACAACUAUCCCAAAUAGGUUUAUCCCUGUGUGUGAUUUAUCAAAUGAACCAGGGGAUUCACAAGAUAAACUUAUUAUAAGUUUCAAAAGUGGUUAAUAGAAUAUUACAAUCGAUAUAGUUUACAAAAUCUGCAUAGCCACAAAUCCGGAAAACAUACGUUCUCUCUGUUUACGUUUUUCUACUUAUUUUAAUUGUAUAUCACGUGGUAUAGAUGUUUAUUAUGUAUCUCGAACACGUGUAUUUUAUUCAUUCUUGUGUGUUGGAAUAUUCUUAACUUAUUUGGUAAGUUUUAAAUUUAAUGAAAUAACUGUUUUGUUUUUUUUUAACGAUAACUUGUACACGCUACAGAAUACUGAAAACUUGAAGCAUUAUGAGUAUAUAUCAAUCAUUGAUGACAUUCUGAUGCUGAAAAUGAUGUUAGGAGGAAAGAAUGAGAGCAACACAAAGAUCAUUUUUUAUAUCCAAAGACGGACGAGGAUAAUAGUUAAAAAAAAUACUGUGCAAAAAGAAAUACAUAAAAGCACCAAAAACAACACUUACAACGAGCAUUGUCAUCCAAAUUGGUGCUAAAGGAGACCGACCAAAACAUGAGAAAAAUGGCUGUAAAAUAAGUAUUGAUGCAGAAAGUGUUAAAAUCAAUUUGAAAGUUUUUUUUCAAGAAAAAGCCUUAAUGAGCGACGAAAUUAUUGUAUUGGAAUGUGACCUUAAUAGAAAAAUAAACGUUUGUUUUAUUGUAA